GCAUUUACCUGGAUUAUCUGAUUGAGAUUGUGGUAGGCUGUGAACAACAGACCAUCUAUGAAGUUUGAGCUUCAGUUUUGUGCAGCCACCUGAUCCUUAUUCCUGGAGGAAAAGCGGAAAACACCGGCGGCAGCUGGCACCCAGGACAAACAGUGGGCCAUGUUUGGAUUCUCCAGCAUCUCAAAAAGGAAGUGAAAGAGUCGCACCCUUUUACCUGCAGCCAUUAUGCAAACAGAACAAUGACCACCAUCCCACAAAGCCCCCGACACAAGCACCAGUCAACCCAUCAACAAAGCCUCCCAGCACUGACCACAUCCUCCCCGCUGAACCAGAUAAGACCUGGCCUGGA